GGCUGAAAUUACGCCUUCAUGAAGCUGGAAUUGCUAGUAAUGGCAGGUCAGCAUACUGCCGUGAAUACGUUCCCGGGCCUUGUACACACCGCCCGUCACACCAUGAGAGUUGGGAAUACCCGAAGCCUGUGAGCUAACUUAUAGAGGCAGCAGUCGAAGGUAGAAUCAAUGAUUGGGGUGAAGUCGUAACAAGGUAAC
rnacentral:rRNA from 1 species